AAUGGUGAAAAGUACCCCGGGAGGGGAGUGAAAUAGUACCUGAAACCGUGUGCUUACAAGCCGUUGGAGCCUUUUGGGGUGACAGCGUGCCUUUUGAAGAAUGAGCCUGCGAGUUAGUGUUAUGUCGCGAGGUUAACCCGUGUGGGGUAUCCGUAGCGAAAGCGAGUCUGAAUAGGGCGUUUGAGUGGCAUGACCUAGACCCGAAGCGGAGUGAUCUAUCCAUGGCCAGGUUGAAGCGACGGUAAGACGUCGUGGAGGACCGAACCCACUUCAGUUGAAAAUGGAGGGGAUGAGCUGUGGAUAGGGGUGAAAGGCCAAUCAAACUCUGUGAUAGCUGGUUCUCCCCGAAAUGCAUUUAGGUGCAGCGUUACGUGUUUCUUGCCGGAGGUAGAGCUACUGGAUGGCCGAUGGGCCUUCACGGGUUACUGACGUCAGCUAAACUCCGAAUGCCGGUAAGUGAGAGCGUAGCAGUGAGACAGUGGGGGAUAAGCUUCAUUGUCGAGAGGGAAACAGCCCAGACCACCAACUAAGGCCCCUAAGCGUGUGCUAAGUGGGAAAGGAUGUGGAGUUGCUUAGACAACCAGGAGGUUGGCUUAGAAGCAGCCAUCCUUGAAAGAGUGCGUAAUAGCUCACUGGUCAAGUGAUUCUGCGCCGAUAAUGUAGCGGGGCUCAAGUACACCGCCGAAGUUGUGGCAAUGACCUUUUUUGGUUGUUGGGUAGGGGAGCGUCGUGUGGCCGGUGAAGCUGCGGUGUAAACCAGUGGUGGAGGCUAUGCGAGUGAGAAUGCAGGCAUGAGUAGCGAAAGAUGAGUGAGAAACUCAUCCGCCGGAUGAUCAAGGGUUCCAGGGUCAAGUUAAUCUGCCCUGGGUUAGUCGGGGCCUAAGGCGAGGCCGACAGGCGUAGUCGAUGGAUAACGGGUUGAUAUUCCCGUACCGGUGAAAAACCGCCCAUACUGAUAUUGUGAUGCUAACCAUGCGAAGCAUGAUGUGCAGGCUUUUGUUUGUGUGUUGUGUGGGUUGUGGGACCCGAUCUUUGGAGGUAAACGUGUUAACAGGUGUGACGCAGGAAGGUAGCCAAGCCACGCGAUGGUUGUCGUGGUCUAAGCGUGUAGGGUUGUCGGUUGUUAAAUGCGCCGGCUGUGUGCCUGAGACGUGAUGGGACCCCGUUUUUGGGGGAUUUGGUGAUCCUAUGCUGCCGAGAAAAGCAUCGGCGUGAGGUUUUAGCCGCCCGUACCCUAAACCGACACAGGUGAUCAGGUAGAGAAUACUAAGGCGAUCGAGAGAAUCAUGGUUAAGGAACUCGGCAAAAUGCCCCCGUAACUUCGGGAGAAGGGGGACCUUGAGCGUGAUGGGCACUUGCUGCCUGGAGCGUGUAUGGGUCGCAGAGACCAGGGGGAAGCGACUGUUUAUCAAAAACACAGGUCCGUGCGAAGUCGUAAGACGAUGUAUACGGACUGACUCCUGCCCGGUGCUGGAAGGUUAAGAGGAUUGGUUAGCUCUUUUGGGCGAAGCUGAGAAUUUAAGCCCCAGUAAACGGCGGUGGUAACUAUAACCAUCCUAAGGUAGCGAAAUUCCUUGUCGGGUAAGUUCCGACCUGCACGAAUGGAGUAACGACUUCCCUACUGUCUCAACCAUGAACUCGGCGAAAUUGCAGUACGAGUAAAGAUGCUCGUUUCGCGCAGCAGGACGGAAAGACCCCGUGACCUUUACUAUAGUUUGGUAUUGGUGUUUGGUUUGGCUUGUGUAGGAUAGGUGGGAGACUGUGAAGCAUGGACGCUAGUUUGUGUGGAGUCGUUGUUGAAAUACCACUCUGGUCAAUCUGGAUGUCUAACUUCGGGCCAUGAUCUGGUUCAGGGACAGUGCCUGAUGGGUAGUUUAACUGGGGCGGUUGCCUCCUAAAGUGUAACGGAGGCGCCCAAAGGUUCCCUCAGCCUGGUUGGCAAUCAGGUGUUGAGUGUAAGUGCACAAGGGAGCUUGACUGUGAGACUGGCAGGUCGAGCAGGGACGAAAGUCGGGACUAGUGAUCCGGCGGUACGUUGUGGAACGGCCGUCGCUCAACGGAUAAAAGGUACCUCGGGGAUAACAGGCUGAUCUUGCCCAAGAGUCCAUAUCGACGGCAUGGUUUGGCACCUCGAUGUCGGCUCGUCGCAUCCUGGGGCUGGAGUCGGUCCCAAGGGUUGGGCUGUUCGCCCAUUAAAGCGGUACGCGAGCUGGGUUCAGAACGUCGUGAGACAGUUCGGUCCCUAUCCGCUGCGCGCGUUGGAAAUUUGAGAAAGGCUGUCCUUAGUACGAGAGGACCGGGACGGACGAACCUCUGGUAUGUCAGUUGUACCGCCAGGUGCAUGGCUGAUUGGCUACGUUCGGGAGGGAUAACCGCUGAAAGCAUCUAAGCGGGAAGCCUGUUUCGAGAUGAGAUUUCCUGGCACUUUGG
rnacentral:rRNA from 1 species